GGGCUGGGGGGCUGCAGGCCCUGCCCUGAAGGCAGAGCUUGACGUGCCCCACAGCCCUGACGAUCGCGUCUCAUCCACCUCGCAGCGUUACCGCCGGGGCUUGUUGUCAGCGGAGUCAUGCUAUGAUAGUCAUUAUGGUUUUAAAUGACUCAUUUUCCACUUAACUGUAUUAUUGUGGCUUACAGAGCAUCUGGAGCUUUGCAGCAGUAAAUACAUCACUGAAUGUACUAAUCUAUUGCUUUGAAGAAUCUAUUUUAGCAAAAUGCAGCCGGGGAGGGCAGGUGUGUCUGCACCUGUGCCGGCCAGCCCAGGCCAGGUACAGGCACAUGUCCUGUACCAGAAAGGGGUAGAAACACGGCUGAUGGUGACCUGUUUGUGCAAACUGAUUGAGCAUCUUUAGUGCAAUCUGAUGACACCUCAAUUUGUUGGUUUAGUGCAAAAACCCGAGAGAUUCUUGUCAAGAUGCACGAAACCCUGCGCUGGCGCUGAGGUGGCCGUGUCUGCGAGGUGUUGGCGUCUCGGGGAACGCCGUGGGUCUUCUCUGAUCAUCCUGACUGGAAGGACCCCCUCUCUAACAUAAGGAAGGGCUUUUUAUAUUAUAUUUAUUAUGGGUUUUUUAUGUUUUCUCUCCUCAGCGGGAGGCACGGUCCGGGAUGGAGCUGCAGAGGGCAGUGUGGGAGAGGGAAAGCCCGGCCAAGAUGGCGGCGGGGCCGGCGCGCUUAGGCGCUAGAGGGAGAUGGCGGGCUGCGGCUCGAGCAGCUCUCACAAAGCCAAAAAUACGACUUUUGGGGGCUGUUUGGGUUUUUAAUCCCCAAAUGGACCCUCCCUGCCCGCAGCUCUUGUGCCGGGCUGCAGAGAGGCGGCAGCCGGCACCCCUCGGGCGGCCGCGCCUCGAGCUCUGCACAGAUCUCAGCAGCUCCCGCUUCUUAUUUUAGAGCUGUGAGGGGCUGGGGGGAGAGUCUGGUCGGGAGUUAUUUUGAUAAAGGCAUCUUGAGAAACAUCUUGAGGAACGCAGCAAGUUAGAAGUAAAGGCUGAGGGGAAAAAACCAUACUGUCUGUAAGUUCAUGUGUCGCCUGAGGUGAUGGAAAAAUGAAGUGGGAAAAGGAGCAGGUGCGACAGACUGGGGUUCGCAUGUGUUCAUUUACUUGUCAUAAAAACAGGCAGCAAACGCUUUGCUUUCUCCGCCAGUUCCUCGGAACGUGGUCCCUGGUGCCCUCAGCCUUCGGGAGGACAGACUGGCAACAGCAGCAGAAAUGCCAGGGAAGGUCAAUGUGGUGACCUGCAGCUCCACAUAAACCCGGUUAAAAGAAAGAAUUAAAGGGAAAUAAAGGCCUGUUUAGAAAGGGGAAAGAAAUGCCCAACAACUCCUCUCUUUUCAGAUUUUUGCCACCCAUAUUCACCUUGUUGCCUCUUCCCCAACAGCCUGUGUAAUUUCUCACUUUGAACUUGAAAAGAAGGCAGGAUGCUGGGGAGCAAGAGAAACCCUUUAGUAGUUUCUUUUCUUUGCCAAAGUUGAGUUUCAUUAGACAAGUUAGGGUGGGAAAAGUUGUUUUCCCUGGACACUGUCCUAGCACAGCCUGGCUGGGAUGGGUGGGCAGCAGGACAGUGGGAGCAGACAGCUGGACACACAGGAUGGGCUGUGUCCUCCACUUUGGGUGUGAGAACGAGGAUCUCGAGGAUUUUGAAGGGGAAAUUGUGCUCACACCAGCAUCGUAUAGGUUUGGUGUGACAGGGGGACUCCUGAGCUCUGGUAAUGUGAGCAUGAAGCCAGACUGUGUGGAAUUAGACAUAAAAUUUGCUCUCACUCCACUUGUGUGGAGGUAAAUUAAGUGUGUGUUGUUCUGUAGCAUGUUUCUUCAGACAACUGCACGUUUUACAAUUGUAUUUCAAAGCAAAGGACUGAGGCUUCAGGUUUGAUUUCUGUUCCAGCCUGCUGGGGAGUCUUAAGAUGAAUAUUAAGAAUCUGUGCCUUUGUUUUUUCACUGUGAUAAGUGAUGCUUUUCUCCCUGCCCUUCCCUCCUGCCUUGUCUCUUGUAAAGAACUUUUAUAUUUGUUAUUAGGAAUUCUAUAAGAGCGGUUUCAUCGUGGUUUUUUUGUUUUAUUCCUUUUUUGUUCCUGCAGUUACAUUUUCUAAUACCCAUUAGCAAUGCAGUAAGUCUAUUCUGGCAGAUUAUUUAGUUUUAUCUUUGGGUUGGCUUGAAUUUGGAGAGACUACAAUCGAUGUGGGCAUUGGAUUUUAAGAAUUGUUCUGUAAUGACUGCAAUAGCUUUAUAUCACUGCUAAUUCUGAACUCCAUGAACCUGUUCCCUGUCUCCACAGCUUUGGCUGAGCAAACUUUGCUCUGAAUGGCACCAUGACUGCUUGAUGAAACAGGGAACAGUCUGUUUGCAGCAAAUCUAGCAUAGAGUGGGUGGAUCUCUGACUAACUGAUAAUCUACAUGAGUUUCUACGAAAUUCUGGAAUCUGUGGGAUCAAACUGGACCUGGUUUUUGUGCCUGUACCUUUGACAAGUUUCUCCCCAAAUGUGCAGGACUGAAUUUGCCUGUCACCAAAAAGCUAAACCUUGAAUUUGAAUGUCCUUGAAUUUGACUUCCAAAAUACCUGCUGCAUGUUGAUGUGUGAACACAGCACUUUGCUGAACCUGGGAAUCCAGCUGAAAAAUAAGAAGACAGCUCUGCAACACCACACCUGUGGUUGACUUCAGGAAGUUCAGAUGGAUUAUCUGGAAGGCAAAUACAGAGUUAGCACCUCUGAAAUAUCUGGUAACUGAAGACCUGCUGAAGGUAAUAAACUCUCUCACUGCUGAGCAUCAGAGGAAUCCCAGGAGUUCCUGAAUUUCUCACAGGUAUGAA